rnacentral:rRNA from 1 species
AAUACGUUCCCGGGCCUUGUACACACCGCCCGUCACACCACGAAAGUCGGCAACACCCGAAGCCGGUGGCCCAACCCCUUGGGGAGGGAGCCGUCGAAGGUGGGGUCGGUGAUUGGGGUG